rnacentral:rRNA from 1 species
AGCUCCAAUAGCGUAUAUUAAAGUUGUUGCAGUUAAAAAGCUCGUAGUUGGAUUUCUGGGAGGGUGCCAAUGUCCGCCAUCGUGCGUGCGCAGCGGCGCCCUUCCAUCCUUCUGUUAACGCCUCUUGGCAUUCAUUUGCUGGUGGCGGGCUCAGAUAUUUUACCUUGAGAAAAUUAGAGUGUUUCAGGCAGGCUAGGCCGGAAUACAUUAGCAUGGAAUAAUGGAAUAGGACUACGGUCUCUUUGUUGGUUUGAGGGACUGCAGUAAUGAUUAAUAGGGAUAGUUGGGGGCAUUAGUAUUUAAUUGUCAGAGGUGGAAUUCUCGGAUUUGUUAAAGACUAACUUAUGCGAAAGCAUUUGCCAAGGAUGUUU